CUAGGAGAACCGAAAACAGUUCUAGACAGACCUCCUGCUUUAUAGCCCUUUGGCAGUCAACUUCAGCCUGGGGUAGAGCAGACAAACCCGCGUUACUCUGCAGGGAGAUGGAUGCGCCACCCUCUCCACAGGUCCUGGCUGUCCCUUGUUAAUUAGCUGCACCCCUCCCCUAGAGGGAAGAGUGAGCCUGAAAAGG
rfam:Sarcophilus harrisii ctg7180001641899, whole genome shotgun sequence.